GCCCGGCUAGCUCAAUCGGUAGAGCGUGAGACUCUUAAUCUCAAGGUUGUGGGUUCGACCCCCCACGUCGGGCU